rnacentral:tRNA from 1 species
AAAGUGGUAGUUUAAUUGGCAAAACGAAAUGCUACGGACAUUUUGACAUGAGUUCGAGUCUUAUCCACUUUA